rnacentral:rRNA from 1 species
UACGUAGGGUGCAAGCGUUGUCCGGAAUUAUUGGGCGUAAAGAGCUCGUAGGCGGUCUGUCACGUCGGCUGUGAAAACCCGAGGCUCAACCUCGGGCCUGCAGUCGAUACGGGCAAACUAGAGUACUGCAGGGGAGACUGGAAUUCCUGGUGUAGCGGUGAAAUGCGCAGAUAUCAGGAGGAACACCGGUGGCGAAGGCGGGUCUCUGGGCAGUAACUGACGCUGAGGAGCGAAAGCUAGGGGAGCGAACGGG